UGGGGAAUUUUGCGCAAUGGGGGAAACCCUGACGCAGCAACGCCGCGUGCGGGACGAAGGCCCUCGGGUUGUAAACCGCUUUCAGCAGGGAAGAUCCAAGACGGUACCUGCAGAAGAAGCUCCGGCUAACUACGUGCCAGCAGCCGCGGUAAUACGUAGGGGGCGAGCGUUAUCCGGAUUCAUUGGGCGUAAAGCGCGCGUAGGCGGCCGCCUAAGCGGGACCUCUAACCCCGGGGCUCACCCCCGGGCCGGGUCCCGGACUGGGCGGCUCGAGUGCGGUAGAGGAGAGCGGAAUUCCCGGUGUAGCGGUGGAAUGCGCAGAUAUCGGGAAGAACACCGAUGGCGAAGGCAGCUCUCUGGGCCGUCACUGACGCUGAGGCGCGAAAGCUGGGGGAGCGAACAGG
rnacentral:rRNA from 1 species